GCCAGAAAGCUAGCUCAAACACCUCAGUAAAAUUAACAACCUAUAUUUCUUCUCAAGCACCUUACCCCCACUAACCAAAUCAUUUAACCACCCCAGUAUGGGCGACAAAAAAGGAUUCAUAUGAAGCCAUAGAAAAAGUACCGCAAGGGAAAGCUGAAAAAGAAAUGAAAAAACCCAUUAAAGCGCAGAAAAGCAGAGACCCCCCCUCGUACCUUUUGCAUCAUGACUCAGCCAGUAAAAUACAUGCAAAGAGCCCUCUAGUUUGUAACCCCGAAACCCGACGAGCUACUCCGAGACAGCCUACCCAGGGCCAAUCCGUCUCUGUAGCAAAAGAGUGGAAAGAUCUCCGAGUAGGGGCAAGAAACCUACCGAGCCGGGUUAUAGCUGGUUGCCCAACAAAUGAAUAAAAGUUCAGCCCCGCUAAGCCCAACUCACAACAGUCGCACCCCAAAAGACAACAUGAGCCCCAAGCGGGAGUUAAUCAGAGGAGGUACAGCUCCCCUGAUAAAGGACACAACCUUAAAAGGAGAAUAAGGAAUACAAUCAAAACAAGGCCAUAAGUCUCAGUGGGCCUAAAAGCAGCCACCUGUCCAGAAAGCGUUAAAGCUCAGACCAGCCUCAGCCUAUUAUUACAUUCAACCCCUCCAAAAUCCCCCCCCCCACUGGGCCUCUCUAUGAGCCCAUAGAAGAGAACAUGCUGAGACGAGUAACAAGAAGAUUGAACUUCUCCCCGCACAAGUGUAAAUCGAAUUGGACCACCCACCGAUAAUUAACGAACCCAACAACAGAGGGCCACACACCCCUAUCACCUCAAAUCAAGAAAACCAUGUUUCUUUAAUCGUUACCCCUACACAGGAGUGCCCACCAAGGGAAAGACUAAAAGAAAAAAAAGGAACUCGGCAAACUUUAAACCCCGCCUGUUUACCAAAAACAUCGCCUCUUGCUCUCACAGUAUAAGAGGUCCCACCUGCCCUGUGACCAAAAGUUUAACGGCCGCGGUAUCCUAACCGUGCGAAGGUAGCGCAAUCAAUUGCCUUUUAAAUGAAGGCCUGUAUGAAUGGUAUAACGAGGGUUUAACUGUCUCUUUUCUCCAGUCAGUUAAACUGAUCUGCCCGUGCAGAAGCGGGCAUAACUUUACAAGACGAGAAGACCCUAUGGAGCUUUAGACACUAACCAAUUUACGGUAAACACUACAAGCUAAACACGCCACUAACCCCUGUAAAACUGGAAUAACUGUCUUAGGUUGGGGCGACCACGGGAGAAAACUUAGCUCCCAAGCAGAUCAGGGACAUCCUGAAACCAAGAAUGACAAUUCUAAGUCGCAAAAAUUUUGACUGAAUGAUCCGGCCCAAGCCGAUUAACGAACCAAGUUACCCUAGGGAUAACAGCGCAAUCCCCUUCCAGAGUCCCCAUCGACAAGGGGGUUUACGACCUCGAUGUUGGAUCAGGACAUCCUAAUGGUGCAACCGCUAUUAAGGGUUUGUUUGUUCAACAAUUAAAGUCCUACGUGAUCUGAGUUCAGACCGGAGUAAUCCAGGUCGGUUUCUAUCUGUAAAACAACCACUCCUAGUACGAAAGGACCGGAGCGGAAAGGCCCAUGCUAAAAGCAAGCCUUCCAUCUACCUGCUGAAAACAACUAAAACAGACAAAGAUGGGUGACCCCUGGGCCUUAGAGAAAGGCCCCCCACUUUUUUACGC
rnacentral:rRNA from 1 species